rnacentral:lncRNA from 1 species
CAGGCUCUGCUUCCUAAACAAAGGCUGCUUUUUCCCUGCCUUUCCACACACCCUGAUGCAACAAAAUUCAACAUGCUCUUCCCAGCCACUCGCUUGUCCUCAUAAGCUGCUCAUGUGAGUGCUAGGUGUAGACAUUUCCCCUGUAGACCAUAGGGAUCCUGCUGGCCUAAAUCCAACUGAGAGAAGAGGCAGUUCUAGAGACUGAGAACAGAGAGACACAGGGUGUCUCAUGCCUCUGCUGGACUCGGACCCGAACUUACAACACAGAAGUCUGGAAAGCAGAGACUGGGCAGGAAUUGGAAGUAACCAUAGUUGAGAUCUGGUUCUGGCUGACUCCAGAGCUGCAGAACAUAGAACAUUUGGAAUGCCUAUGCUAGAGAAGGUGGACUGAGGCACCUAAUUCUUCACCUCUCAGCA